AACGAACGCUGGCGGCAUGCCUAACACAUGCAAGUCGAACGAGACCGUCGGGUCUAGUGGCGCACCUGUGCGUACCGCGUGGUAACCUGCCCUUGGGUUCGGAAUAACUCCCCGUAGGGGGAGCUAAUAACGGAUAGUGUCAUAGGACCAAAGAUGUCUCGCCGUGGGAUGGGGCCGCGUUGGCUUAGCGAGUUGGUAGGGUAAAAGCCUACCAACGGCACGAUGCAUAGCUGGUCUGAUAGGAUGAUCAGCCACACUGGAGAUGAGACACGGCCCAGAAUCCUACGGAAGGGAGGAGUGGGGAACAUUGGAGGAGGGGCGCAAGUCUGAUCCAGCAAUGCGGGGUGAGUGAGGAAGGGCUUAGGGAUGUAAAGCUCUUUUAGCCGGGACGAUAAUGACAGUAACGGGAGAAGAAGCACCGGCUAACUACGUG
rnacentral:rRNA from 1 species